rfam:Triticum aestivum genome assembly, contig: Triticum_aestivum_CS42_TGACv1_scaffold_577855_7BL
CCGACCUUAGCUCAGUUGGUAGAGCGGAGGACUGUAGUAUUGCAGAUCAAUCCUUAGGUCGCUGGUUUGAAUCCGGCAGGUCGAA